UACGUAGGGUGCGAGCGUUAAUCGGAAUUACUGGGCGUAAAGAGCGUGUAGGCGGCCACGCAGGUCCGUUGUGAAAACUGGAGGCUCAACCUCCAGCUGUCGACGGAAACCGUGUGGCUAGAGUCCGGAAGAGGAGAGUGGAAUUCCUGGUGUAGCGGUGAAAUGCGCAGAUAUCAGGAAGAACACCAAUGGCGAAGGCAGCUCUCUGGGACGGUACUGACGCUGAGACGCGAAAAGCGUGGGGGAGCGAACAGG
rnacentral:rRNA from 1 species